rnacentral:rRNA from 1 species
CCUACGGGUGGCAGCAGUGAGGAAUAUUGGUCAAUGGACGCAAGUCUGAACCAGCCAUGCCGCGUGCAGGAAGACGGCUCUAUGAGUUGUAAACUGCUUUUGUACGAGGGUAAACUCAGAUACGCGUACCUGUCUGAAAGUACCGUACGAAUAAGGAUCGGCUAACUCCGUGCCAGCAGCCGCGGUAAUACGGAGGAUUCAAGCGUUAUCCGGAUUUAUUGGGUUUAAAGGGUGCGUAGGCGGUCGGAUAAGUUAGAGGUGAAAUCCCGAGGCUCAACUUCGGAAUUGCCUCUGAUACUGUUAGGCUAGAGAGUAGUUGCGGUAGGCGGAAUGUAUGGUGUAGCGGUGAAAUGCGUAGAGAUCAUACAGAACACCGAUUGCGAAGGCAGCUUACCAAGCUGCAUCUGACGUUGAGGCACGAAAGCGUGGGGAGCAAACAGGAUUAGAUACCCUUGUAGUC